UCCCUGGUAGUAUAUCGGUUAGUACACGCGCCUGUCAUUGCCAUGCGGACGCGCGAAAGCGGGGUUCGACUCCCCGCCAGGGAG
rnacentral:tRNA from 1 species